rnacentral:tRNA from 1 species
GCCCCGGUAGCUCAGCUCGGUAGAGCGCCGCUCUGGUAAGAACUAGUCCUUCCGGAUAGGCGGAGGUCCCGGGUUCAAACCCCGGCCGGGGCU